rnacentral:rRNA from 1 species
GAUGAACGCUGGCGGCGUGCCUAAUACAUGCAAGUCGAGCGAACAGACGAGGAGCUUGCUCCUCUGACGUUAGCGGCGGACGGGUGAGUAACACGUGGAUAACCUACCUAUAAGACUGGGAUAACUUCGGGAAACCGGAGCUAAUACCGGAUAAUAUAUUGAACCGCAUGGUUCAAUAGUGAAAGACGGUUUUGCUGUCACUUAUAGAUGAUCCGCGCCGCAUUAGCUAGUUGGUAAGGUAACGGCUUACCAAGGCAACGAUGCGUAGCCGACCUGAGAGGGUGAUCGGCCACACUGGAACUGAGACACGGUCCAGACUCCUACGGGAGGCAGCAGUAGGGAAUCUUCCGCAAUGGGCGAAAGCCUGACGGAGCAACGCCGCGUGAGUGAUGAAGGUCUUCGGAUCGUAAAACUCUGUUAUUAGGGAAGAACAAAUGUGUAAGUAACUAUGCACGUCUUGACGGUACCUAAUCAGAAAGCCACGGCUAACUACGUG